GGACUGUGCCAUACACGACCUCAGGAAGAUGUACAUGUACUCAGAGAUAGACAUCAAGGUGGCUGACCCGGUGGUGGCCGUCUGUGAGACAGUGGUAGAGACAUCCUCUCUAAAGUGCUUUGCUGAGACACUCAACAAGAAGGUAUUGAAGACAAACCCUGUUGGCUGUAACGUACGUGAUGGUGUAAACGCAAGCUGGGCGCAAGACUGCCGGGAAGACAUUCAAGCCUCCAAGUCUCGCUGAGCUCAAUUCCACAAUAUAGACAAGCCAUGCAAAGACCACGUGACUACCCAACAAGACACCAGCUGUGAGCAGUGGAGUGAGUGGACACAGCACUCUGGAGAACACCUUGCAUGUUUGGUGAUGCUGGUAACGUUGCCAGUGGCAUACAUCAUCUAUGAUGUUUGGUAUUAUAUUCUCCCCAUAACUGAAACCUGACAGCAGUUUCUAUAAAAAUGCUCAUACCAUAAUUAUAGCUAUAUGCAGAAUCUCUGCAUUAAGUGAUAAUUAUUAUGACAGUAAUAAAGACACUUGUGCAUACAUGUAUUAUGACUACUAUUACUGUGGAAGCUGCUAUAGCUGUUUUAUCUCAACUUUCUCUCCGAUACAGUAGUCUUUAGCCUCGAUUCCAGGCUGCACUAUCAUCAGGGAAAACAAUUAAUGUUUUGUGUCAGUCUAAGGUCCUUUAAUUGCAUUAACAAUUCAUUCAGCCUGAAACCUUCACCGCUUUCCAUCAGCGCGUUAUGAAACCCCCAACAAAUUCAAAAGGCGUAUUUGAUUAUAGGUCGGUUGUUCAUUAUAUCAUCGUAUAAGGUUGCUAUAAGCCUACCUCAUGUGCAUGUGUAUACAGUGACUUUAGAGUGGGCACAUUGCUUUUAAGAUGAGUAUCUAUAUCUGCUGAAUCCCCAGCAUAAAGCUAGUAGACCAUUCUACACUUCAAAUCCAUAUGCUUUGGUUCUAUGAGUUUCUAUACCACCUUAUAUCAUGUUAUACACCUGGUAACUUUCUAUAUAGGAUCUAAUUUUCAGAUUGGCCAUUUUUAUGUGUAAUUAUCAUGCCAGCGAAAUCAGCGAAAAUAUUAGCCGUCGUUAGAUACCCGCUAUACGAUAGUUUUAGAAGCCAUGCAUCAUUACUCAGGACUAUAAUUAUACAUGUUGUUUGCGUAGCAAAAUUGUAUGUUGCAUGGUUUUGUGGCCGUAAUGCAGUUCAAGAUUUUGUAUUUUGUAUUU